GAUGAAGAACGUAGCGAAAUGCGAUAAGUAAUGUGAAUUGCAGAAUUCAGUGAAUCAUCGAACCUUUGAACGCACAUUGCGCCCCUUGGUAUUCCGAGGGGCAUGCCUAUUCGAGCGUCAUUAUCACCCCUCAAGCCUAGCUUGGUGUUGAGGCCUGCUGUCAAGGCAGCCUCUAAAAUCAGUGGCAGUGCUGUCAGGCUCUAAGCGUAGUAAAUCUAAUCGCUAUAGACACCUGGUGGACACUCGCCAGAACCCCCCCCAUUUUUUAAUGAUUGACCUCGGAUUAGGUAGGGAUACCCGCUGAACUUAAGCAUAUCAAUAAGCGGAGGA
rnacentral:misc_RNA from 1 species